rfam:Camelus ferus unplaced genomic scaffold scaffold277, whole genome shotgun sequence.
AAGGGUAUAGCUCAGUGGUAAUGCAUAUGCUUAGCAUGUAUGAGGUCCUGGGUUCAAUCCCCAGUACCCCUA